rnacentral:rRNA from 1 species
UAGUUAUAUGCUUGUCUCAAAGAUUAAGCCAUGCAUUUUUAAGUAUAAACAUCUUUAUACAGUGAAACUGCGUACAGCUCAUUAUAUCAGUUAUUAUUUAUUUGAUGGUACCUUACUACAUGGAUACCCGUAGUAAUUCUAGAGCUAAUACAUGCGUCAAGUCCCGACUUUUUGGAAGGGAUGUAUUUAUUAGAUAAAAAACCAAUGCAGGCAACUGCUCUCUUGGUGAUUCAUAGUAACUUUUACGGAUCGCACGGCUUCACGUCGGCGACAGUUCAUUCAAAUUUCUGCCCUAUCAGCUUUCGACGGUACUGUAGUGGACUACCGUGGCAUUAACGGGUGACGGAGAAUUAGGGUUCGAUUCCGGAGAGGGAGCCUGAGAAACGGCUACCACAUCCAAGGAAGGCACCAGGCGCGCAAAUUACCCAAUCCUGACACAAGGAGGUAGUGACAAAAAAUAACAAUACCGGGCCUUUUUAGGUCUGGUAAUUGGAAUGAGUACAAUUUAAAUCCCUUAACGAGUAUCCAUUG